rnacentral:rRNA from 1 species
CCUACGGGCGGCAGCAGUGGGGAAUAUUGCACAAUGGGGGAAACCCUGAUGCAGCGACGCCGCGUGAGCGAUGAAGUAUUUCGGUAUGUAAAGCUCUAUCAGCAGGGAAGAAAAUGACGGUACCUGACUAAGAAGCCCCGGCUAACUACGUGCCAGCAGCCGCGGUAAUACGUAGGGGGCAAGCGUUAUCCGGAUUUACUGGGUGUAAAGGGAGCGUAGACGGCUUGGCAAGCCAGAUGUGAAAGGCUGGGGCUCAACCCCAGGACUGCAUUUGGAACUGUCAUGCUAGAGUGUCGGAGAGGCAGGCGGAAUGCCUAGUGUAGCGGUGAAAUGCGUAGAGAUUAGGAGGAACACCAGUGGCGAAGGCGGUCUGCUGGACAGCAACUUACGGUGAGGCGCGAAAGCGUGGGGAGCAAACAGGAUUAGAUACCCCAGUAGUC